UAGGGUAGGAGGAUAGGUGUACUCUGACAGCAUCCCGCCCACUCGGUCACUCAGGAGUAGUGAUGGCAGAGUGCACGGUUGUCAUAGCCCUACCCACUCGGUCUCACCAUCGUAUGUGAGAUGGCUAACUGGCAUCAGAGGUGACCAGGACAUGUCAUUGGCAUCAUAUGCAUAUUUGCAUUUAUUGCUUGUGUUUGCUGCACUUUGUUUACUACAUAUUGGAUGGAUGUAUAUGAUGACAUGCAUACAGGAACAUGUUAUUUUCGAUUUGACGACCUUGUUAUCCUGAUAGGAGGCCCUGGUGAGUACAGCUUCUCCCUUAUCUUCAGUUAUGCAUUGUUACAUUACUUCAGGAGGUUGAGGUCGUCAGAAGGUUCUAGUCGCUAGUCCCCCUCCAGAUCACAAGGAUUUUUCGUUUGGGUCUUUUGUUUUCUUAUUAUACUAUCUAGUCUAUCUUCAGACUUGUAUUGGUUUUGCACCAUGGAUUUUGUAUGGUCUUUUAUGUGUCGAUGGGUGUUAUUUGAUAUGUCUUGCUACGUGCCUGCUCGGACGAUAGAAGAGGUAAGUGUAGAGGUUGUUUUUGAUUCCGUAUUUGUGUUGAUAGCCAGAGGUUGUUUUAUAGUUAAAUUGCAUGGUUA